UACGUAGGGUGCAAGCGUUGUUCGGAAUUACUGGGCGUAAAGGGCGCGUAGGCGGUUCGUUAAGUCCUGUGUGAAAUCCCCCGGCUCAACUGGGGAACUGCACAGGAAACUAGCGGGCUUGAGUUCGGGAGAGGGAAGCGGAAUUCCGGGUGUAGCGGUGAAAUGCGUAGAUAUCCGGAGGAACACCGGUGGCGAAGGCGGCUUCCUGGACCGACACUGACGCUGAGGCGCGAAAGCUAGGGGAGCAAACGGG
rnacentral:rRNA from 1 species